GACGAACGCUGGCGGCGUGCUUAACACAUGCCAGUCGAACGGAAAGGCCCUGCUCUUUUUGGCGGCUCGAGUGGCGCGCGGGUGAGUAACACGUGAGUAACCUCCCCAUGACUUUGUGAUUACUUCAGGGAACUGCUGCUACUACCUGCUAGCAGCUCCUGCUGCCUGGUGGGGGUUGGACCUUUUCGGCGGUUGGGGAUGGACUCGCGGGUUAUGAGCUUGUUGGUGGGGUAGUGGCUUACCAAGGCUUUGACGGGUAGCCGGCAUGGGAGGGUGACCGGCGACAUGGGGACUGAGAUACGGAGCAGACGGGAACGGGAGGCAGUAGUGGGGAAUAUUGCACAAUGGGCGGAAGUCUGAGGCAGCAACGCCGCGGGCGGGAUGAAGGCUUGCGAGUUGAAAACCGCUUUCGCCUGUGACCAAGCGUGAGUGACGGUAAUGGGUAAAGAAGCACCGGCUAACUACGUG
rnacentral:rRNA from 1 species